rnacentral:rRNA from 1 species
AUAACGUAGCGAAAGUUACGCUAAUACCGCAUACGAUCUAAGGAUGAAAGCGGGGGACGUCGCAAGAGCCUCGCGCGAUUGGGAGCGGCCGAUANCAGAUUAGGUAGUUGGUGGGGUAAAGGCUCACCAAGCCAACGAUCUGUAGCUGGUCUGAGAGGACGACCAGCCACACUGGAACUGAGACACGGUCCAGACUCCUACGGGAGGCAGCAGUGGGGAAUUUUGGACAAUGGACGCAAGUCUGAUCCAGCCAUUCCGCGUGCAGGAUGAAGGCCCUCGGGUUGUAAACUGCUUUUGUACGGAACGAAAAGGUUUCUAUUAAUACUAGGAGCUCAUGACGGUACCGUAAGAAUAAGCACCGGCUAACUACGUG